GGCAGGCUAUUUUAUGAGAGCCGGUCCUGUUGCGAUGCAUUUGAUACGCUUUCCUGAAGCAGCGUGCUUCGUUCUUGUAGUGUGGUUUACGCCUUUAUCAAUAGAAAUGAAUAGAAGUGUUUGUUUGUUUGUUUGUUUGUAUGUUUGUUUGUUUGUUUGUUUGUUAGUAUGUGUCUGUCACGUUCGUAGCGCUGUUCAAGCUUUAUUUGCUUUGCAAAAAUUCAGACUUUAUGGUAUUAAGCUGUUCGAGUAGAAGUGACUUUCCCUGCUCGCUUAAGAUAAAUUGUGUAUCCCUGCCCUGUGCUUUCUUCACGCAGGGACAAUGCGAAUGAGUAUUCAGCAUUAUGCAAUAAUUAUCUGAUAGCAGAAAUGGGUGUCUUUGUCACAGUUUAUUAGCGUGUGUGUCGAUAUUUUAUUUUUUUCUCUUAUUGCUAUUCGAGCAAAAGUGCGUGUAAUUUUCGCUGCUCUUGUCUUAUUUUCUCUACUUUUAUGUAGAAGAAAGCCUCCUGCGUAAAAGCUGAAUAGUGUUCUAUCAGUGGAAGUGGGGUUGUUUGUUUGAUUUUGUUGGGUGUUCGAUAUCUUGAUGAUGUAAGCAGUGCUUAAUUUUGCAGGUUUUUGAGCAGAAAUGCUGGUAUCUGAGCACGGAGUAGAAAUUGCUAUAUUUCUCUGCUCCCUAAGAAACUUUGUACGUCGUUUUCCAAGCAGACCGCGUUUAGUUUACGCGAAAUGAACUUAUGUAUGCUCUAUGAUGAUCCGCCGCAGGCUUAGCCCUUUUCCCCGAUCACCAGUGUUUUGGCAUUCGAUGUCGCAUGUCUAGACUUGUUCAGUAGUGUCUUUCUUGCUGCAAUUUUUACCCUUCGCUGAUAUCUUGUUGCUGUCAUGUUGUGCUAGCCGCGUAGCGAUAAGCGGUGAUUCUCCGAUUAUUCCUAGGCGGUACGGCUUAAGCCUUUUCCCUGCUCACUGAAGGAAAUUUGUGUAUCCCUGUCCUGUGCUUUCUUUACGCAAGGGUAAUGCGUCUGUGUAUGUGGCACUAUCAUAUACCAGACAUGAGUGUCUUUUUCUUUGUUUAUUGGCAUAUGCUUCAGGUUUUUUAAGUCAAGCAAAAGUGCGUCUAAUAUUUCGCUGCUCUUUUUCUUAUUUUCUCUACUUUUAUGUUGAAGAAAGCCUCCUGCGUAAAAGCUGAAUAGUGUUCUACCAGUGGAAGUGGGGUUGUUUGUUUGAUUUUGUUGGGUGUUCGAUAUCUUGACGAAGUAAGCAGUGCUUAAUUUUGCAGGUUUUUGAGCAGAAAUGCUGGUAUCUGAGCACGGAGUAGAAAUUUCUAUAUUUCUCUGCUCCUUAAGAAAAUUUGUACGUCGUUUUCCAAGCAGACCGCGUUUAGUUUACGCGAAGUAGAAAAGUGAAGUUGUGUAUGCUCUAUGAUGAUCCGCCGCGGGCUUAGGCCUUUUCCCCGAUGAGCAGUGUUUUGUAUGCGAUGUCGCAUGUCUGGACUUGAUCAGUGUUGCAAUUUUUACCCUUCGUUAAUAUCUUGUUGUUGUUGUCGUCUUGUGUUAGACGUUGAGCUUCGUAGCGAUGUGCGGUAACGCUACGAUUAUUCCUGAGCGCUCCGUGUGUUUAAUGCGUUGUCCUCUGUGCGUGCAUGCGUGUGCUUUUUUUCUCCUGAUUUGUGACGUCAUCGUGGCAUGUCUGGACUUGUUUAGCAGUGUUGCAGUUCUUCCCGCUGCUAGUAUCUUGUUGGUGUCAUGUUGUGCUAGCCGCGUGGCGAUGUGUGGUGACCUGAGGUCUUAAGCCUUUUCCCUGCUCACCUAAGGAAAUGUGUGUAUCCCUGUCCUGUGCUUUCUUUACGCAAGGGCAAUGCGUCUGCGUAUGUGGCACUAUCACAUACCAGACCUGAGUGUCUUUUUCUUAGCUUAUUAGCAUAUGCUUCAGGUUUUUUAAGUCAAGCACAAGUGCGCGCAAUUUUUCGCUGCUCUCUUCCUCAAAUCACCGAUUUUACGCAGAAGAAAGUCGCAUGGUGCAGCUGAGAAGUGGGUUUCUCUGAUUGUUUGUUAGAUGUUGUUAGGAGCUCGGUAUGUUGAGGAAGUCAGCUGUUAAAGGUAUCCGUGAAGAAAUGCUUGCAUCUGAACGCAGGAUAGGAAUUCCUGAAGCACGGCACCCUCAGUGUAAAUUAAUUAUUUUGGAUAUGAGUCGGCUUCACUGCAUGACAAGGCUGAAAUGGGAAGAGAGAAAAAAUUGGAGCGCUUCAUUAGUAGCGAUCCAAGUAAUAGGGCAAUUAUAGUUUCCAUAGAAAGUUGAAUUUUAAUGGGCUCCUAAAAUUAUAGUUUUGUAGAAGCUUUUCGAAACUGCAAUGCAAUAAUCAUCAAUAUAGUAUAGGAAUGCCAUCGUGUUCCCGUAAAGGCGUUCUGUCUUGUGCUUUGGAGUGCGCGAAUAGAACUUUGCUCCCAGGCUUUCCCGCCUUUAUGCUCGCAAUGCGCGAAUGGAACUUUGCCCACCCGGCUUCCGCGCGUUUUUGCUCGCAGGUGUAGCCUCAGACAACGAAUGUAUGAGCAUAGAAAGGGUCAUGUAUUACAUAAGCCUGGAGGUGACGUUGAGUGGUCUCACUUAUUAUUUUAAGGAGCAGUGGUAGUUUACUGUAAUUCUAAUGACCAUGAUGAGCCUUUGGGGUGAAAAUAGUUAAUAUGCAGGGUGCUUUUUUGUUGAAUUUUAAUGAGAGAAUCAAUGUCAUUCAGAGUAGGACAAAGGAAAUAAUCUUGCGAUGCAAUAAUUAAUAGGAGUCUUUGCCGGUGUCUUCUUCAGACAGGAUGUGAUGAUGUCACGCAGUCUGUAGCAAUGCGUUGACUGUUACUGAAAAAAGUGUAGCAAAAUGGUGUGUAUUCCCCUGGACAGAUUUAUGAUGAGCACUGUUUUUGAACAAGAGGAGUGCGUGUGCUUGGAAAUAGUUUGAUGCUGGUUUCCUUCUUUGUUUCUUUUCGCUUUUUCCCCCUUGUUGUCUGACAAACAUGCGCUGACAUGCCUGGGCUUGUUCUGACAUGCUUUCCUUCUACAUGUAGUUUUUUUUUCUUUUUGUACAAGGAAUAUUCUUGACGAUAGUGCUGCCUUGAAUGGGAAUAGUGCUAUUCUUAAUACUUUUGCGAUUCAUUUAGUUCAGAGAGUAACCGCGAGGGGGACAGGUGUGUGACUUUAUUCAGGAGGAACAAAGCAUCAUUAUUCAAUUAUCUACCUGGCUCUCGGGUGGGAUGAACAUGUCUUGCUGCACCAUUUUUUCCCUGUACAGUAAGACUUUGGGAAUGAAAUGCUAUAAUCUCCUCUUUUCUAUGGUGCUCUUCUGCAAUAGUUCCCUAUGCAAUCGUUAUAGAAGAAUAAAGGAAAUAAUAUUGGGAGAGUGAUUCAAUAAAUAACAGGUCCCAUGUCUAGAGCGUGCGCGUUCUUGAGCCACGCACCUGCAAGAUGACGUCAUACCGUGGCUUCACUGCAGGUUGACCUUGUCUAGAGGAGCAUUAGUGAAAAAAAACAGGGUAGCCCUGAGACAAUAGGAUGCCGUCACGACCAAUGAGACUGGCCUGCAGGGGGCGCAAGGAUUCACUUCUCUCUUGGACACUGGCGGGUGUAGACACGGUAAUUAUGAUCCUGGCGUUGGCCGUCAGUGGAAGAGCGUAGCUUAGGUGGGGUUCUGUCUGCCUCUGAUGGGGUGCGGAUGUAUGGUUCGUCACUGGUGAAUGGUGUUCGACGAUGCAGGUGGAUUUUGUGACGAGCGGAUUUACAAUGAGGGAAUGCUGUGAACGGGAAAAAUGAUGGUGAGUGCCUUUUUCACUCUGUUCAAGUGUUCGUUUUCCUCUGUUGCCCAACAGUCGUGCGAAUUUGUUCUGACGUGUCCUGACAUGCCCCGAUAUGCAUGCUUUCCUUUGUUAACGCUUUGUAUCUUGUCUUUUUUUGACAAGGAACAUUGUCGUCUUGACGAUAGUGCUGCCCUGAGUUCUGCGCGCGUUGAUUUGUUGAGUGCCUAGUCCUCUUAUUAGCCGUUGAUGGAGUUACAUGUUAGGAUGUUUUGUUCCUUUGCAAGUCUCAUUUAGUAAGACUUUGGAAUUCCUACGAUCAGUUUUCAUGCAUGGUGCUCUUCUGCAAUAGUUUCCUAUGCAAUCGUUAUAGAAGAAUAAAGGAAAUAAUCUUGGGAUAGUGAUUCAAUAAAUAAUAGGUCCCCUGUCUAGAGCGCACGCGUCCUUGAGCCACGCAGGUGCAUGAUGACGUCAUACCGUGGCCUCACUGCAGAUUGACCAAAGGAGCAUUAGUGGAAAAAAACAGUGUAGCCCUGAGACAAUAGGAUGAUGUCUGGACCAAUGAGAACUGCCAGCAGGGGGCGCAGGAAUGCUCUUCUCACUUAGCCUCACGACCAAUGAGAACGGCCAGCAGGGGGCGCAGGAAUGCUCUUCUCUCUUAGCCUCUCGCAGAUGGCGGUAGGAGCGCGCAGAGGGCGCUACGAGCGCGCGCAUGCGUAGCACCCGUAGAGUGGCGCUUACGUCAGUCCACCUCUGGCUCUCGUUGGGAGAAGACGUGCGGUCGUUCGCUCCGUCGUCACUUGAUCCCUGGCUGUCGACGAGAGCAGUCGCAUCGGUCUGCGCUCCUACUGUGGUGAGGUGAUUUGUUGUGUAACUAAUGAUUUCGCCAACUUUGUUCCCGCUUUGUUUGCGAUUUUCGUGCCCGUGCACGUCGGGUGCUGGUUGCUGUUGUCCGGGCAUUCCCGCCAUUUUCUAUCAUCUUCUGCCUUGGGACCGGGAGUAGCGCUGGCGUGAUUCUUAAUAAUUUUGUUGUGAGAUUAGUUGAGAAAGUAAUCGCUAGGGGGUGCAGCUGCGGGGUUUAUACAGGACAAAAACCAUUACGAGUCAGUUUCUGCCUGCCUCUCGGAUGGAGCAGUCGCAUGGUUCUGCGCUCCUGUUCUGGUGGGCUCAUUUGUUGUGUAACUAAUUUUUUUUUUUUUGUUAGCUAUUGAUGGUUUGCAUACUCUUGCUUUUCCAGACUCUGUAUUACGAGUGUUUUUCUCCUUGCAUGCCCAGAGCUGUCCUAACUUGCCCAGACAUGCCGUGAUGACGUCACAGCUGACGUCACAGGAUGUCCGGAACUGGUGGUCAUAGCUGCGAUGCUUUGCAACCUGCCUCUGUGCUCCGUCGCCCAGCGACGGUACGCGGCCUUUCCGGACCGCUUUCUUCAAGAUGGUGCCGUUGAUCUUCAAUUAAACUCCUUCUCUCCACUCUAUUUCUAUCUAUUUUUUUCUUUUUUAUGGACUCUCAUAGUGCACAACGCUCAGCUGGUCUGGACACGAGUUAGACUUUCCCCAAUUAGUGUGGUGGCUCCCUGGAGGGUGCUGAUUAAUGUGGGGGGUCCCAAUUAGCUCUAAUUGCUAAUUAAAUCGUGUUCAGGCCAGUUGGGCGUUGUGCACUGUGAGAGUCCAGUACCUACUACUGAUGAGUCGCGGAUAGUGAACAACGUAAUGCAUUUUACAGGGGUUAGAUAUUUGUGGGUACAACACUGCAAAGCCUUGAAGAAACGAAUAAAUGCAGCGUUCUAAGUAAUGAACAUGCAUAUGAACAUGCAUACUGCGCAUGAGAAGGUCUACAGUUUCACGAAAAGCUAUAUACAGCUGCCAUGCUUGAUUGCCAUGCACAGCUGCCACGCCAUAUACAUGAUUGUCUGUAUGUCGGCUGUGCAUGUUUAUACACAUAUUUCAUCACCUUGAUGUGCAUACAUAUGUGGACCUCAAUGUGAUUAUGCGCAAUAUGCUGGUACUUAUGAAUACACAGUUACCAACUUAUUGCCAUAAACCCAGCAGUUUUAUUCGGCGUUACACCCUUUACACCCCAAUUGCCAUGAGGGUGUUAAAAUACACCUUAAAAGGUGUGCGCCAUGAACAUUUUGAUUUACACCCUUUAAGGUGUAAUACGAUUUCGAGUGUACGAUGCAACCGGACAGUGCCAGCAAACCUGAAUUGGACUUUGCUAUGCAAAACCACGCUUCAGGCAAAAAAUUCUGUAGAUUUAAGAGCAUUUUGACCUUUUUUCUGGAUUUCAGUAGACAGACUCGGAGUCCAGUAGAUCUUCUGAAAUUUCAGUAGACCUGGCAACACUGGUGAACUGAACACUCUUUAGGCGACACGUCUGCUCUUCAUGACGAAGCGUUUUAUGGAGUUGGAGCCUAAGCUCCGCCAGCUUCGAUUUCGCCACACGAAUGCACCGGAGGCUAUCAUGAAGACGCGGCGCAGUGACCAGUGUUUUCACUUGAAGAAGUCGUCGACCAUCAUGACUUCUCCGUGUUGUGGUCAACACUAUGGGCUCUGAACCGCAUGGACACUGGCAUCUCCGAGGCAAAAGAGCGGACCGAUGAAUGCAUACCUGUGUAACAUUGCGCUUACCAUAUCUUAUUGAUACCAGGAGCGCAACGUCUCCACAAGCACAACAACAUGGAUACCAAAAUAAAGUCAGUAGAGUUCAUCUGCUAGCGAUCUGUGGGAAACCCCAAAACACAUGGCCAAAUAAGGAUUUUCUUUUUUGAAUGGUCAUACGCAGCAUUCAACAGUGGCACAUGGAAUAAAUCUUCCAGCUGACAGGAAUGUAUUUAGUCGUAUCAUAUAUAUGCUGCACACACAGGCACAAUACUGUUCACUAAUUAACGACACCUCAGCACAAUCGGAACAGAAACCACAACCGCGUACGAUCCACCUCAACCCGGGCCGUCACGGCAACACAGAGGCCUAGCCACACCUUUUACACUGCCCGCAGUCUUGUUUUAUGCAAAACGUACAAGACAAAUCAUGUAAGAACGCAAGUGAAUGUCAAACUCAAAUAAAUCGCAACAGCGUCUCAGUCGGUAAGUCGCCACGAUUCCGGAGCUAGCAGACGAUUCUGGCGGGGAGCGGACGCUUCCGGCAGCCAAUGAAGUGGUCGGCCUCCUGACGUCACCACACGCCAGGCUCGGCUUGGGGGACACUGUCGCCGCGGAGCGCAUUCUUGUAAACUUGUUUUUCUGAGGAAAUUCGCGCUUUUCGAAGGAAAUAUUUUGCGUGGCAGUUUAUGAAGGUAGUAUGUUCAUAUCAAGCGAUGAAAAAAUAUAUGUUCCAAAUGAUUCCCAUGCUCCUUUAAUAUGUAGGUUUUUUGUAUAGGGAAUGCUUGCGAGUGGCCGCUGGGGACGUGGUGUCUGGCCAUUUUUCCAUUCUCCCAAUAGGCAACUCAGAACAGCUGUGGAUGAUGUCGUAGAUCUGGUGACUUCACAUGAGAAGAGAUCUGGCCCAGGCGAUGGCUGCUUCUUCGAGCGUUUCUUGUUCCCUCACAGUCGCCCAGCCGUGCUGAAGAAGUGGGUGCAGAAGAUGCAUCGCAAAAAUUGGGUCCCAUCUAAAUCUUCGGUGCUCUGCAGCAGACACUUUGAGGAGGCUUGUUUCGAUCGUACAGGGCAAACUGCGCGACUCAAGAUUGAUGACUUUUGACAGCACAAGGGUACAGGCAAGAAAACCACCUCCAACAAGACAUAACAUAGAGGUAGAGCAAGACGUCAACCAUGAGAUUUCACAGCCAGGACCAUCGUGGGCUGCAGGUCCAGGGGUCUUGUCACCUCAGCCAGUCCGAUCCUCACAUAACCUUGCUGCUGACCACACAUACACAGUGCAAGAGAGUCCACGGACCUUAAAAAGGAAGAUAGACAUCACAGUUGAAGCACUGGACAACAUGAAGAAGCUGAAACGCUCUGAAGAAAAUGCCCGAAGACUGAAGAAAAAGGUACUCACUUCGGAGAGUGUUAUAGAAGAUCUCGAGAAAAAAUCUCUCGUACCAAGUCAAUGCACUGACAUGCUUCGUGGCACCUUGUCUGAUGUGCAGCUAGAUUUAGUACUGCGCACCCUACAGAACAAAGCUGGAAAAGUAAGCAGAGAGCAGUAUCCCCAGUCACUGCGUAGCUUUGCGCUCACUCUCCAGUUUUAUUCAGCAAAGGCAUACGCGUACGUCAGGAAGACAUUUAACCUUUCGCUUCCACACCAGGCGACACUUAGGUCGUGGUACAGCUGUAUACACGGCGAACCAGGUUUCACACAGGAAGCCUUUGAUGCACUCAAGGUUCUAGGUCCACAUCUCUGAGACACAACGUUUUCCCUACCCUCUACGAGCACAUGUUCGA